rnacentral:rRNA from 1 species
AUUGAACGCUGGCGGCAUGCUUUACACAUGCAAGUCGAACGGUAACAGGUUAAGCUGACGAGUGGCGAACGGGUGAGUAAUGCAUCGGAACGUGCCCAGUCGUGGGGGAUAACGCAGCGAAAGCUGUGCUAAUACCGCAUACGAUCUACGGAUGAAAGCGGGGGAUCGCAAGACCUCGCGCGGACGGAGCGGCCGAUGGCAGAUUAGGUAGUUGGUGAGGUAAAGGCUCACCAAGGCGACGAUCCGUAGCUGGUCUGAGAGGAUGAUCAGCCACACCGGAACUGAGACACGGUCCGGACUCCUACGGGAGGCAGCAGUGGGGAAUAUUGCGCAAUGGGCGAAAGCCUGACGCAGCCAUACCGCGUGUGUGAAGAAGGCCUUCGGGUUGUAAAGCACUUUCAGUGGGGAGGAAAAGCUGGUGGCUAAUAUCCAUCGGCCGUGACGCUACCCACAGAAGAAGCACCGGCUAAUUCCGUG